UAAUACAGGAGGUCUGUACCAAGCAGUAC
rnacentral:piRNA from 1 species